GAUGAACGCUGACAGAAUGCUUAACACAUCAGCAAUUGAUUGGUGGCGGACGGGUGAGUAACGCGUAAAGAACUUACCUCCCAUUUAGGGACAACAUUUGGAAACGAAUGCUAAUACCUAAUCCUGUGAGAGAGCUUUGCGUCCCAUUAGCUAGUUGGAGAGGUAACGGCUCACCAAGGCGAUGAUGGGUAGCCGGCCUGAGAGGGUGAUCGGCCACAAGGGGACUGAGACACGGCCCUGAGUCCUACGGGAGGCAGCAGUGGGGAAUAUUGGACAAUGGACCAAAGUCUGAUCCAGGAAGUCUGUGUGUACGAUGAAGUUUUCGGAAUGUAAAGGGAUUUCAGUUGGGAAGCGGUACCAACAGAAGAAGUGACGGCUAAAUACGUGCCAGCAGCCGCGGUAAUUC
rnacentral:rRNA from 1 species